UACGGAGGGUGCAAGCGUUAUCCGGAUUUACUGGGUUUAAAGGGCGCGCAGGCGGCUCUGAAAGUCAGAUGUGAAAGCCCCGGGCUUAACCUGGGAAUUGCAUUUGAUACUCUGGAGCUUGAGUGUGGGAGAGGAGAGUGGAAUUCCCAGUGUAGAGGUGAAAUUCGUAGAUAUUGGGAAGAACACCGGUGGCGAAGGCGGCUCUCUGGACCACAACUGACGCUGAGGCGCGAAAGCGUGGGGAGCAAACAGG
rnacentral:rRNA from 1 species